AGGGUUUGAUCAUGGCUCAGAACGUACGCUGGCGGCACGCCUAACACAUGCAAGUCGAACGAAGUAGCAAUACUUAGUGGCAGACGGGUGAGUAACAUGUGGGUAUCUGCCCUUUGGCCUGGAAUAACACGAGGAAACUUGUGCUAAUACUGGAUAAGUCUUUACGGAGAAAGCUUUAUGCACCAUUGGAUGAGCCCGCACUUGAUUAGUUUGUUGGUGGGGUAAUGGCCUACCAAGACUUUGAUCAAUAGCUGAUUUGAGAGGAUGAUCAGCCACAUUGGGACUGAGACACGGCCCAAACUCCUACGGGAGGCAGCAGUGGGGAAUCUUGCACAAUGGAGGAAACUCUGAUGCAGCGAUGCCGCGUGAGUGAAGAAGGCCCUUGGGUUGUAAAGCUCUUUCGUCGGGGAAGAAAAUGACUGUACCCGAAUAAGAAGGUCCGGCUAACUUCGUGCCAGCAGCCGCGGUAAUACGAAGGGACCUAGCGUAGUUCGGAAUUACUGGGCUUAAAGAGUUCGUAGGUGGUUGAAAAAGUUGGUGGUGAAAUCCCAGAGCUUAACUCUGGAACUGCCAUCAAAACUUUUCAGCUAGAGUUUGAUAGAGGAAAGCAGAAUUUCUAGUGUAGAGGUGAAAUUCGUAGAUAUUAGAAAGAAUACCAAUUGCGAAGGCAGCUUUCUGGAUCAUUACUGACGCUGAGGAACGAAAGCAUGGGUAGCGAAGAGGAUUAGAUACCCUCGUAGUCCAUGCCGUAAACGAUGUGUGUUAGACGUUGGAAAUUUAUUUUCAGUGUCGCAGCGAAAGCGAUAAACACACCGCCUGGGGAGUACGACCGCAAGGUUAAAACUCAAAUGAAUUGACGGGGACCCGCACAAGUAGUGGAGCAUGUGGUUUAAUUCGAAGAUACGCGCAGAACCUUACCAACACUUGACAUGUUCGUCGCAACUUUAAGAGAUUAAAGUUUUCGGUUCGGCCGGACGAAACACAGGUGCUGCAUGGCUGUCGUCAGCUCGUGUCGUGAGAUGUUGGGUUAAGUCCCGCAACGAGCGCAACCCUCACUUUUAGUUGCCAUCAUUAAGUUGGGCACUCUGAAAGAACUGCCAGUGAUAAGCUGGAGGAAGGUGGGAAUGACGUCAAGUCCUCAUGGCCCUUACGUGUUGGGCUACACACGUGCUACAAUGGUAUCUACAACAGGAAGCGAAACAGCGAUGUUAAGCAAAUCCUUAAAAGAUACCUCAGUUCGGAUUGCACUCUGCAACUCGAGUGCAUGAAGCUGGAAUUACUAGUAAUCGUGGAUCAGCGUGCCACGGUGAAUGCGUUCCCGGGUCUUGUACACACCGCCCGUCACACCAUGGGAGUUGGUUCUACCUUAAGGCAAGGUUUAAUACCCUUGACCACGGUAUAGUCAGCGACUGGGGUGAAGUCGUAACAAGGUAGCCGUA
rnacentral:rRNA from 1 species